rnacentral:lncRNA from 7 species
AGGUGGGAAAUCUGCCUCCCUGCAACUUCCAUCUGAAGCAUUUAUGCAGUAAAAAUGCUUUGACUGCCUCUGUAGCUCUUCUCUGCUUCUGUGAUGGGAUAAUUGCAGACUAAGGGAUUGCAGCAACUGAAUUUGGCUGGAUUCACAUGUUAAAGUAUUCACUGUGUGUGGAAGUAACAUUAAAGGCCAUGAAAUGGAAAGUUCUCCUUAGCAGACAAAACAGCUGUUUCCAAGGAAAUGAAGACAGCUGAGAAGCUGGUGUGAACUCUAAGUAAAUGAAGAUAUCAAGUACAUUUGACUGUUGGAGCACCAGGAAAUGAUUUAUGACCUUAUAACACAUUAAAAAAGUGUCUGCCAAUGUAUAGCUAUUCCUGUUGUCGCACAGCAACGUUUUAAAUUUCUAUAAAUGUGGCCACAGUGUUGUUGGCAUAUGUAGAAAUCUUUCUUCUUAGCCAUCACGGCUUUACAGAUGGAUUUCUCUUGCUAGUUAUUCCUCACAACGCUUGGCAAAACCUCUCUGUAGGAAAUUACUUCCUUUAUAUAUGUGUGCAUAUAUAUAUAUAUAAAUAUACAUGUAUUUCCAGAGAGGAGCAAUUCAGUUUGGAAUGGACUUUGUACCACAUCAUUUGGCUGGCUUUGUUUCUGUUUCCCUCUCCGCACCUAGGGAAAGAAGUGAUACAUGCUCUGCGUGCUGAUCCACGCUGCAGGAUGCUGCAGUCUCCGGAGUCAUUUUUGGACCGUGGUGCCUUGUGACUCCCAGGGGCUGCAGCUCCAUCACAGCCACCCCACACCCUGCGAAGCUGCAGCAUCCUGUGCCUAUGCUCCCAGAUGUUUAAUAGUGAAAAACAUUUGUGUGCACAGGACCACAAAAUUAAUCCUAUUCUGACAAUAAGGCUGGACACCAGAAGAUGGGACAGUGCAAAGACUGGUGCUUUGCAGACUGGAGAUUAACGUGUGUAUUUCUUCACCACGAGCUGAACAUGGAAACCAGAAUGAUGCCAAAUGUUAGAGCAUUGCAUAGGCAAUGGCCCUCUGGGCUCACCAAAUCCUGUCCCCUGCUGCCAGAGUCCCCUCUGCUGGCUGGGUCCCGGUGCACACUUGAAAAAAGUGUAAGCACUUGGUGGAGACAAUGGAGGACAAGUCAGGUUUCAAUAUUGCCUUAAGGUGCAGCCUCAGGAAAAAUACAUUACAGGCUCAAGUCCUGAGCUGAUGAAUGCUACUCUUAUGGCAGUAUGUUCAGGAUCUGAAGCACACUCUUGGAGUUGUCGUCAGCUGGAGACAGCAGGAAAUAAGUGGAAAUGUUCCAGAACAUUGCUGCUGAAAAACCUUUUCUAACAGCUGAGGAUCCACGAGUCCCCAUAGCACAGGCUGUGACAUCAAGAUAUCUUCAACUGGAAAAGAAAACACAGUGAAGCCAAGGCUUCGAUAGCUCUCUAAUAUGCCACCAAUUUCAACGGGAGAAAAUCUCAGUCAGGAAAUGAGUGCUGUCCGAGCGGUUCUGAUAAAGAUUGAAAGGAAAUGAGACCUGAUCCUCGGCCCUCCUGCAGAAGGAAGAGGUGAUAUUUGCAGCUGUUUUGAUGGCGUCAUAAAAGCACAGGGCGCUUCUUGGCAAACAAACCUCAGCAGAGAGAUACUGCAGCUCACAGUGUGCUCCUAUGCCCACUCCUGUGCACCCUCUCUCUGCAGGCUUGCUUGCUCUCCCAAUGAUUCUAGCUCUGUUCUGGGGGUUUGGGAACAACAGCUUGCAUGGGGUGCACAGCUGCCAUAAAUGAGCAGUUAAUAGCCAAGAUUGUCUCAGUCAGUGUCCUUUAGAUGGGUGAAGCAAUAGGAAACGUGACUUUAUGGGUUGGGUUGGCUCAAAGGCCUAGCUUUAUUAUCAUAGCACCGAUACUCUGCAGAAAUGCUUUCAUACCCAUCCACUAAAUGUGGAUCUUGAGAAUGUAUUCCCCACUCAACGCAGCACGGAGGAAAAACCCAUAGUGCCAGACAUACUAUUGCUCAUGAUUACUGUGCUGGUUGCAGUUAUUUCUAGGUAAAACAUCAAUUGUGAUGGAUGGUUUUAUUUUUUGUCUGCUUGGUAUAUGCAAUUCUAAAGAACUAAGUUUUAAUAGAGCAUUAAUUAAAUGCUGAUUCCUGCAUUACCUGGUGCUUUCAAAUGGUUUAGCACAGACUGUGUGAGUUAAGUGUUUUCAUAAUGGUGCAAUUUUCUAUUUGCUGUUUUCCAUUGUUCCUUUACCUCGAGUAGUGGUUUCAUUGUUAUUUGCUUUUGGAUUUUAUUAUUAUUUCCCUUCUGAUUUUAUUAUCUUCACCUGCCUUUUUAAUUUCUCCACCCUGAGUGGAUGGGCAUCUGGACUGUGCUGGCUUCUCAUGACAAUAAACAGAAACUUUGAGUUCUUGG